CGCAUUGCAGGCAGAUUAUUUACCAGCUGAGCCACAAGGGAAGCACACAGGCAACAAAGCUGAGGUUCUAGGUAACAGCCAGAAUCCAGCCUCCUGCCCCCUCAGCCACCUCCACACCAGGCAUUUAUCCUGGGGUGUCCUGCCCUCUGUGGGGUCAGAUGUCCCUUGACCGCUCACAUUCCACCACCCCAUCCCCUUCACAACCAUAGGCCUGCACGGACAGCUCUCCUUGACCCAUAGUCUAGCCUCUCAUCUUGGUGUUCCAAAUAUCCAUUGCUGAGUUUUAAUAUAAGGUAAUUAAGCCCAAUGACAAAAGCAUCUCCAGGAGGAAGGUGUGACUGAAGCUGCUACUGUUUGAUUGACAUUCAAGACCAUCCUGUCUGCCCAGGGCAGUUCCCAGCCUCUGAAGAAUCAGGUUGACUUUCCUGAUUUCCCUGCCGCAGGGGUGUAACCUGUUUUUCUUUGAACCUCUGGAACUCUUCACCUGCUGCCACUUGGGACUCUCACCUGGUCUACCUGGGCUCAUAGUCCUGUUGCUGCUGCUGCUGCUGCUGCUGCUAAGUCGCUUCAGUCGUGUCCGACUCUGUGCAACCCCACGGACGGCAGCCCACCAGGCUCCCCCGUCCCUGGGAUUCUCCAGGUCUGUCUUCCCACCAGGAAAAGGACCAGGAAGAGGAGUUCCAGGCCUUUCAAGGAAGAUAGUCGACAAUGUCCAAGUCAAGGUGGGACGAGAUCUUCCAAUGCAGAGAUUGCACACAACACAGGAGAUACUGAAUAGCAGUGGAGUGAAGGAUUGAAGCGUGUGGGAAUGCAGAGCUGGUCCCUGAGCUGGAAGGAUUCACACUGAAAGGAAAUUCUCAGAACGUGUCUCUAAUGAUGGAACUCUCAGGAAGAUGAAACCCCCUUCCAGUGCUUGGGAGCUCUUCUGAGUCCUCAGAAUUACCUUGUUUUCCAGUUUUCAGGGGAGCAUUAGGAAAGGAAUGUGGCUUGCACACAAGCUCUCCAUGCUCCAUGAUGUGGUUCCCGUGGCUCUAGGAAUACCCUUCAAGGCCCCUAAAACUCCUCGGCGCCUGCAUAUGUGGGAAACCUCCUUAGAACAUUCAGUUGCAUAAUUGGAGAAAAGUAAUUGGAGAAAAGGUUUAAAUCAUCUCGUGGGAGGCAAUAGCUUGACGAACAUUCCUGC
ensembl:lncRNA